GACGAACGCUGGCGGCGUGCUUAACACAUGCAAGUCGAACGGAAAGGCCCUGCUUGCAGGGUACUCGAGUGGCGAACGGGUGAGUAACACGUGGGUGAUCUGCCCUGCACUUCGGGAUAAGCCUGGGAAACUGGGUCUAAUACCGGAUAGGAGCCAUUUUUAGUGUGAUGGUUGGAAAGUUUUUUCGGUGUAGGAUGAGCUCGCGGCCUAUCAGCUUGUUGGUGGGGUAAUGGCCUACCAAGGCGGCGACGGGUAGCCGGCCUGAGAGGGUGGACGGCCACAUUGGGACUGAGAUACGGCCCAGACUCCUACGGGAGGCAGCAGUGGGGAAUAUUGCACAAUGGGCGCAAGCCUGAUGCAGCGACGCCGCGUGGGGGAUGACGGCCUUCGGGUUGUAAACUCCUUUCGCUAGGGACGAAGCUUUUUGUGACGGUACCUAGAGAAGAAGCACCGGCUGACUACGUG
rnacentral:rRNA from 1 species